UCGAGAUUUUUUUUUGGACAUCUGAAAAGUCAUAUGAAUCACAUAUGUGAAGUUAAACACAACUCAAGAAGGACCCUUGGGCCAAAUCAAAGUGGAAGUCCUCCAAACGAAUAUUUUUAAGAAAACGUUUUCGGGUGAUCUGACUUGUAGGGGCAAAAACGGUAUUAUAAGUUUGGAAUUUGGAAAAAUAUCAAGAAAUAGAAGUUGUAGAUAAUUGAAUUAGCUUUCCAACCAUAGGUUGUGGGUUCCCAGGUGACAUCGGUACAAGGAGAUAUGGACGUUUUAAGGUCGAAAGGUCAGUGGGCUAGGCCCAACUCGGGAUCAACCGAGUUGGCCCAAAAAAAUGAAGAAAAAAAAAUUAGGCCCAAAAGAGGGGUGGCCGGCCAUACAAUGGCCCAAGCCCAUGGAUUCUAAUUAAUUUCCAUGUGAUAAUUAAAUAAAAGGGGUCAUUUAGUUGUCUUGAAACAUAUAGAAGUUUCAAGAACAUUAGAAGAGGAGAAAAACAAAACAAAUGAAGAGCAAAGGAGACAUGGCAUACGGCCAUGCUCUCCAAUUUUUGUCCCUUUGAAAUCUUCUCCCAAAAAUUAUUUUCUUGUGGUAUUCCUACUAAUUCAAGGGUCCUUUACAACUUGGUGUAAUUAUUUUGGAAGAAAGAACACUUGUUUCUUCAAGUUGACAACUUGGUCAAGUGAAGAAGAUUGUAGAAAAAGAUUUUGGCGAACUUGAAACUUGAUUUUGGAGACGUGUAUGAAGCGGAAAAGGUCAGCAGACAGGUGGACUUGAUCCUUAGGAGCUCUACCAGCGGUACUCUACAGUGCUCCAGUUGUUCCGGAGCCUCACUUCCGUGGUACUAUUUUGUGUAUGUAUAUUCGGGCACAGCAGUACCCGGCCCUUUCUAUGUAUAAGUGUACUAUGUCUAGAGGCUCGUAGACAGAUAUGCCCAGUCAGUCAAGUACAGUUAGAUAUAUGGUGUGUUGGCAUUUUAAUGUUGUUGUAUAAAGUGAUAACGAAGUUUACUAGUCUAUGUUCAUAAUGAUGCUGCUAAUGUUAAUGUUAAAAAAAAAAUAUAUGGCACAGUUCCUACGGCCUGCUGAGAAGUAAA